AACGAACGCUGGCUGCAUGCCUAACACAUGCAAGUCGAACGAUGCUUUCGGGCAUAGUGGCGCACGGGUGCGUAACGCGUGGGAAUCUGCCCUUGGGUUCGGAAUAACAGUGAGAAAUUGCUGCUAAUACCGGAUGAUGUCUUCGGACCAAAGAUUUAUCGCCCAGGGAUGAGCCCGCGUAGGAUUAGCUAGUUGGUGGGGUAAUGGCCUACCAAGGCGACGAUCCUUAGCUGGUCUGAGAGGAUGAUCAGCCACACUGGGACUGAGACACGGCCCAGACUCCUACGGGAGGCAGCAGUGGGGAAUAUUGGACAAUGGGCGCAAGCCUGAUCCAGCAAUGCCGCGUGAGUGAUGAAGGCCUUAGGGUUGUAAAGCUCUUUUACCCGGGAUGAUAAUGACAGUACCGGGAGAAUAAGCGCCGGCUAACUCCGUG
rnacentral:rRNA from 1 species